GACGAACGCUGGCGGCGUGCUUAACACAUGCAAGUCGAACGGAAAGGCCCUGCUUUUGUGGGGUGCUCGAGUGGCGAACGGGUGAGUAACACGUGAGUAACCUGCCCUUGACUUUGGGAUAACUUCAGGAAACUGGGGCUAAUACCGGAUAGGAGCUCCUGCUGCAUGGUGGGGGUUGGAAAGUUUCGGCGGUUGGGGAUGGACUCGCGGCUUAUCAGCUUGUUGGUGGGGUAGUGGCUUACCAAGGCUUUGACGGGUAGCCGGCCUGAGAGGGUGACCGGCCACAUUGGGACUGAGAUACGGCCCAGACUCCUACGGGAGGCAGCAGUGGGGAAUAUUGCACAAUGGGCGGAAGCCUGAUGCAGCAACGCCGCGUGCGGGAUGACGGCCUUCGGGUUGUAAACCGCUUUCGCCUGUGACGAAGCGUGAGUGACGGUAAUGGGUAAAGAAGCACCGGCUAACUACGUGCCAGCAGCCGCGGUGAUACGUAGGGUGCGAGCGUUGUCCGGAUUUAUUGGGCGUAAAGGGCUCGUAGGUGGUUGAUCGCGUCGGAAGUGUAAUCUUGGGGCUUAACCCUGAGCGUGCUUUCGAUACGGGUUGACUUGAGGAAGGUAGGGGAGAAUGGAAUUCCUGGUGGAGCGGUGGAAUGCGCAGAUAUCAGGAGGAACACCAGUGGCGAAGGCGGUUCUCUGGGCCUUUCCUGACGCUGAGGAGCGAAAGCGUGGGGAGCGAACAGGCUUAGAUACCCUGGUAGUCCACGCUGUAAACGGUGGGUACUAGGUGUGGGGUCCAUUCCACGGGUUCCGUGCCGUAGCUAACGCUUUAAGUACCCCGCCUGGGGAGUACGGCCGCAAGGCUAAAGCUCAAAGGAAUUGACGGGGCCCCGCACAAGCGGCGGAGCAUGCGGAUUAAUUCGAUGCAACGCGUAGAACCUUACCUGGGUUUGACAUGGGUCGGGAGUGCUCAGAGAUGGGUGUGCCUCUUUUGGGGUCGGUUCACAGGUGGUGCAUGGCUGUCGUCAGCUCGUGUCGUGAGAUGUUGGGUUAAGUCCCGCAACGAGCGCAACCCUUGUUCACUGUUGCCAGCACGUUAUGGUGGGGACUCAGUGGAGACCGCCGGGGUCAACUCGGAGGAAGGUGGGGAUGACGUCAAGUCAUCAUGCCCCUUAUGUCCAGGGCUUCACGCAUGCUACAAUGGCUGGUACAGAGAGUGGCGAGCCUGUGAGGGUGAGCGAAUCUCGGAAAGCCGGUCUCAGUUCGGAUUGGGGUCUGCAACUCGACCUCAUGAAGUCGGAGUCGCUAGUAAUCGCAGAUCAGCAACGCUGCGGUGAAUACGUUCCCGGG
rnacentral:rRNA from 1 species